rnacentral:snRNA from 1 species
GAUCAAAGUGUAGUAUCUGUUCUUAUCAGCUUAAUAUCUGAUACGUGCCCCAUCGGGGUACUUCGAUAUUAAACUGAUUUUUGGAACUGGGCGAAGAGUCAGGAGCUUGCUCCGCCUUUGCCACGGGUUGGCC